AUAUGUGUUUAUAAGGUGUCUGAUAAGAUAUGUGUUUUAAAAGGUGUCUGAUAAGAUAUGUUUGUUAAAAGGUGUCUGAUAAGAUAUGUGUUUUAAAAGGUGUCUGAUAAGAUAUGUGUUUUAAAAGGUGUCUGAUAAGAUAUGUUUGUUAAAAGGUGUCUGAUAAGAUAUGUUUUUUAAAAAGUGUCUGAUA
rnacentral:sRNA from 1 species